AGCAUGGUCUUAGCUUGCUAAGGCCGAUGGCGACCGGCGCACGGGUGAGUAACGCGUAUCCAACCUGCCUUACACUCUUGGACAGCCUUCUGAAAGGGAGAUUAAUACAAGAUGUUAUCAUGAGUAAGCAUUUUCGCAUGAUUAAAGGUUUACCGGUGUAAGAUGGGGAUGCGUUCCAUUAGAUAGUAGGCGGGGUAACGGCCCACCUAGUCUUCGAUGGAUAGGGGUUCUGAGAGGAAGGUCCCCCACAUUGGAACUGAGACACGGUCCAAACUCCUACGGGAGGCAGCAGUGAGGAAUAUUGGUCAAUGGACGAGAGUCUGAACCAGCCAAGUAGCGUGAAGGAUGAAGGUUCUAUGGAUUGUAAACUUCUUUUAUACGGGAAUAAACGGAUCCACGUGUGGAUUUUUGCAUGUACCGUAUGAAUAAGGAUCGGCUAACUCCGUGCCAGCAGCCGCGGUAAUACGGAGGAUCCGAGCGUUAUCCGGAUUUAUUGGGUUUAAAGGGAGCGUAGAUGGGUUGUUAAGUCAGUUGUGAAAGUUUGCGGCUCAACCGUAAAAUUGCAAUUGAUACUGGCAGUCUUGAGUACAGUUGAGGUAGGCGGAAUUCGUGGUGUAGCGGUGAAAUGCUUAGAUAUCACGAAGAACUCCGAUUGCGA
rnacentral:rRNA from 1 species